UGGGCAACCUGCCCUCAGCUCUGGGAUAACUCCAAGAAAUUGGGGCUAAUACCGGAUAUGACCGCUGACCGCAUGGUCUGGUGGUGGAAAGAUUUAUCGGCUGGGGAUGGGCCCGCGGCCUAUCAGCUUGUUGGUGGGGUAGUGGCCUACCAAGGCGACGACGGGUAGCCGGCCUGAGAGGGUGACCGGCCACACUGGGACUGAGAUACGGUCCAGACCUCCGUACGGGGA
rnacentral:rRNA from 1 species